CUACGGGACACAGCAGUGGGGAAUAUUGGACAAUGGGCGAAAGCCUGAUCCAGCCAUGCCGCGUGUGUGAAGAAGGCCUUCGGGUUGUAAAGCACUUUCAGUGGGGAAGAAAGCCUUGGGGCUAAUACCCUCGAGGAAGGACAUCACCCACAGAAGAAGCACCGGCUAACUCCGUGCCAGCAGCCGCGGUAAUACGGAGGGUGCGAGCGUUAAUCGGAAUUACUGGGCGUAAAGCGCGCGUAGGCGGUCUGAUAAGCCGGUUGUGAAAGCCCCGGGCUCAACCUGGGAACGGCAUCCGGAACUGUCAGGCUAGAGUGCAGGAGAGGAAGGUAGAAUUCCCGGUGUAGCGGUGAAAUGCGUAGAGAUCGGGAGGAAUACCAGUGGCGAAGGCGGCCUUCUGGACUGACACUGACGCUGAGGUGCGAAAGCGUGGGUAGCAAACAGGAUUAGAUACCCCGGUAGUC
rnacentral:rRNA from 1 species